GGCUCUGUGGUGAAGUUCAUGCUGAGUUGCAAGCUCAGUGAUGUACAUUAAAUAUGUACCAGAGUCU
rnacentral:tRNA from 1 species